CGGGAUUUAGCUCAGUGGCAUAAGCGCCUGCCUUGCAAGCAGGCAGUCGUGAGUUCGACCCCUGGUACCGA
rnacentral:tRNA from 1 species